rnacentral:rRNA from 1 species
AGAGUUUGAUUCUGGCUCAGAACGAACGCUGGCAGCGUGGAUUAGGCAUGCAAGUCGAGCGAGAAUCCUUCGCUUCAAUCUUUCGGGAGAGAGGCGUUGGAGGAAAGCGGCGAAAGGGUGAGUAACGCGUGGGUAACCUGCCCCUGAGUUCGGGAUAACACCGCGAAAGCGAUGCUAAUACCGGAUGCGGUGCCCAAUCGAAUGGUUGGAACACUAAAGGUGGGGAUCCUUCGGGACCUGCCGCUUGGGGAGGGGCCCGCGUCCUAUCAGCUUGUUGGUGAGGUAACGGCUCACCAAGGCUUACGGGUAGCUGGUCUGAGAGGACGGUCAGCCACACUGGGACUGAGACACUGCCCAGACUCCUACGGGAGGCUGCAGUCGAGAAUCAUUCGCAAUGCGCGAAAGCGUGACGAUGCGACGCUGCGUGGAGGAUGACGGCCUUCGGGUUGUAAACUCCUGUCAUCCGGGAGCAACUGCGUUGGUGCUAACACCAUCGACGCCUGAUAGUGCCGGAAGAGGAAGCCACGGCUAACUCUGUGCCAGCAGCCGCGGUAAUACAGAGGUGGCGAGCGUUGUUCGGAUUUACUGGGCGUAAAGCGUGCGUAGGUGGUUGUCCGUGUCGGAUGUGAAAGCUCCCCGCUCACCGGGGAAAGUGCAUUCGAAACUGGAUGACUAGAGUGCGGGAGAGGAAGGCGGAAUUCUUGGUGUAGCGGUGGAAUGCCUUGAUAUCAAGAAGAACACCGGUGGCGAAGGCGGCCUUCUGGAACGUAACUGACACUGAGGCACGAAAGUUGGGGGAGCAAACAGGAUUAGAUACCCUGGUAGUCCCAACCGUAAACGGUGUGCACUUGGUGUGGGGAGAUUUGAUCCUCUCCGUGCCGUAGCUAACGCGUUAAGUGCACCGCCUGGGGAGUACGGCCGCAAGGCUAAAACUCAAAGAAAUUGACGGGGGCCCGCACAAGCGGAGGAGCAUGUGGCUUAAUUCGAUACAACGCGAAGAACCUUAUCCAAGGCUUGACAUGCAGCUGCAAGCCCCUGAAAGGGGGUCGCCUUCGAGGGUGCUGCACAGGUGCUGCAUGGCUGUCGUCAGUUCGUGCCGUGAGGUGUUGGGUUAAGUCCCGCAACGAACGCAACCCUUGUGUCUAGUUGCCACCGUGGGUGAUGAGCCCACGAGCACUUUAGACAGACUGCCCGUGCAAGCGGGAGGAAGGUGAGGAUGACGUCAAGUCCGUAUGGCCUUUAUGCCUUGGGCUGCACACGUGCUACAAUGGUCGGUACAAUGGGAAGCAAGACCGCGAGGUGGAGCAAAUCCCCAAAGCCGGCCCCAGUUCGGAUUGGAGUCUGCAACUCGACUCCAUGAAGUCGGAUUCGCUAGUAAUGGCGCAUCAGCUACGGCGCCGUGAAUACGUUCCCGGGCCUUGUACACACCGCCCGUCACAUCAUGAAAGCUCUCUGUACCCGAAGUCGCUGGUCCAACCUUGGUUUUAUCAAGGGGGAAGGCGCCGAAGGUGUGGGGAGUGAUUGGGAUGAAGUCGAACAAGG